rnacentral:rRNA from 1 species
CACGUAGGGUGCGAGCGUUGUCCGGAAUUAUUGGGCGUAAAGGGCUCGUAGGCGGUCCGUCACGUCGGGAGUGAAAACUCGGGGCUUAACCCCGAGCCUGCUUCCGAUACGGGCGGACUAGAGGUAGGUAGGGGAGAACGGAAUUCCUGGUGUAGCGGUGGAAUGCGCAGAUAUCAGGAGGAACACCGGUGGCGAAGGCGGUUCUCUGGGCCUUACCUGACGCUGAGGAGCGAAAGCGUGGGGAGCGAACAGG